GGGGCACCUGCAGCAGCGCCAAGGUGGUGCGGAGCCCCUCAGCCUGCUCCUCCUGCUGCAGCUGGACGGAGAGAGGAGGGUCAAUGCCAAGGUCACAAAGCCCCAAUUGGACCUCAAUUCUUUAGAAUCCCAGAUCCCUUUACACUCCUAAAAAUUAUUGAG